AUAUCAAUAAGCGGAGGAAAAGAAACUAACAAGGAUUCCCCUAGUAACGGCGAGUGAAGAGGGAAAAGCUCAAAUUUUGAAUCUGGUGUCUUUGACUCCCGAGUUGUAAUCUAGAGAAGUGUUUUCCGUGUCGGACCGUGCACAAGUUCCCUGGAACGGGGCGUCAUAGAGGGUGAGAAUCCCGUAUAUGGCAUGGACUACCGAUGCUUUUGUGAUACACUCUCAACGAGUCGAGUUGUUUGGGAAUGCAGCUCAAAAUGGGUGGUAAAUUCCAUCUAAAGCUAAAUAUUGGCGAGAGACCGAUAGCGAACAAGUACCGUGAGGGAAAGAUGAAAAGCACUUUGGAAAGAGAGUGAAACAGUAC
rnacentral:rRNA from 1 species